rnacentral:rRNA from 1 species
GUCUACGGCCACGCCACCCUGAACACGCCCGAUCUCAUCUGAUCUCAGAAGCUAAGCAGGGUCGAGCCUGCUUCGUACUUGGAUGGGAGAAAAGGAGAGAGAGACACCUGGAGACC